rnacentral:pre_miRNA from 1 species
UUUACUUUUCUUAAGUCAAACUUCUUUUUGACCAAAUUUAUAGAAAAAUAUAGUAAUAUUUUUAACACAAAACAGAGAAACUAUUAAAAUAUGUUCAAUGUUAGAUGUAAUGAAACUAAUUUGGUGAUAUAAAUGUUAUUAUAAUUUUCUAUAAAUUUGAUCAAACUUUUAAUAAGUUUGACUUAAAAAAAAUCAAA